UCCGUAGGCGGGCAAUUAAGUCAGAGGUGAAAUCCCACAGCUCAACUGUGGAACUGCCUUUGAUACUGGUUGUCUUGAGAUACAGUGAAGUAGAUAGAAUAUGUAGUGUAGCGGUGAAAUGCAUAGAUAUUACAUAGAAUACCGAUUGCGAAGGCAGUCUACUAACUGUAUACUGACGCUAAUGGACGAAAGCGUGGGGAGCGAACAGGAUUAGAUACCCUGGUAGUCC
rnacentral:rRNA from 1 species